CCUACGGGUGGCAGCAGUGGGGAAUAUUGGACAAUGGGGGGAACCCUGAUCCAGCCAUGCCGCGUGUGUGAAGAAGGCCCUCGGGUUGUAAAGCACUUUCAGUGAGGAAGAACGCCUGGUGGUUAAUACCCAUCAGGAAAGACAUCACUCACAGAAGAAGCACCGGCUAACUCCGUGCCAGCAGCCGCGGUAAUACGGAGGGUGCGAGCGUUAAUCGGAAUUACUGGGCGUAAAGCGCGCGUAGGUGGCUUGAUAAGCCGGUUGUGAAAGCCCCGGGCUCAACCUGGGAACGGCAUCCGGAACUGUCAAGCUAGAGUGCAGGAGAGGAAGGUAGAAUUCCCGGUGUAGCGGUGAAAUGCGUAGAGAUCGGGAGGAAUACCAGUGGCGAAGGCGGCCUUCUGGACUGACACUGACACUGAGGUGCGAAGGCGUGGGUAGCAAACAGGAUUAGAUACCCGAGUAGUC
rnacentral:rRNA from 1 species